AACAAGUGAUGAUCUAUGGAACCAUUUAACUCAAGAUUUUUCAAGUUUGUUCUGGCGUUCUCGUGCGACAAACAGGAUCAAUCCCUGGUAUUUCAUCAGGGCAGAUGGAAGCUGGACAAAUGGAGACUGGAUAAUAUUUUGGUAUGGUGUUGAUGAACCUAGAAUCUCUCAUGACCUUGUAGAAUUCGCUGGAACAUUGCCUGAAUCCUUUGACCCAAUCGCAAACCAUGAUGUUACGAUGAAGUCAGAAAAUAGAUCAACCACAAGCUACAUACAAUAUGUCUGAAGAUCUUGUUCGUAAAAUGACAUAUUUGUCAUCUACGGGAAAAAAUAGACUUACUAUAACAAAACUACAGUAGAGGCUAUACUAUACAGUGAACUGUAAUAAAAUAUUUUAUUACAGUUCACUAAUACUAUAGAAACCUAUAUAGACCCAGUUAGAUGAACUUUAAGAUAUAUUUUUUUGUCUCAUAAAACCCUGUGUGUACAAUUUUCUUGUAUUUAUACUAUUAUUUAUAGUUGCAUACAGUGUAUGAAUUCCAUGUACAUUAAUUUAGAUUUUAAAAUAUUAUAAAAACAUGUAUUUUUUUAAACACUAUAGUAUUUCAAGCCAAUACAAUUGUUCAGACAA